rnacentral:rRNA from 1 species
GACGAACGCUGGCGGCGUGCCUAAUACAUGCAAGUCGAACGCAGUGGGGACGGGUGAGUAACACGUGGGUAACCUCCCAUCAGAGGGGAUAACCCUUGGAAACAGGUGCUAAACCGAUACUGAUGGAUGAACCCGCGGUGCAUUAGCUAGUUGGUGAGGUAACGGCUCACCAAGGCAACGAUGCAUAGUCGGCCUGAGCGGGUGCUCGGUCACACUGGGACUGCGGCACGGCCCAGACACCGACGGGAGGCAGCAGGAGGGAAUCUUCGGCAAUGGACGAAAGUCUGACCGAGCAACGCCGCGUGAGUGAAGAGGGUUUUCGGAUCGUAAAACUCUGUUGUGAGAGAAGCGGUAUCUAACCAGAAAGCCACGGCUAAGUACGUGACAGCAGCCGCGGUAAUUC